rnacentral:rRNA from 1 species
CCUACGGGGGGCAGCAGUGGGGAAUAUUGGGCAAUGGGCGCAAGCCUGACCCAGCAACGCCGUGUGAGGGAUGAAGGCCUUCGGGUCGUAAACCUCUGUCAGAAGGGAAGAAUGGGCAUAGUUCGAAUAGGGCUAUGUUGUGACGGUACCUUCAGAGGAAGCACCGGCUAACUCCGUGCCAGCAGCCGCGGUAAUACGGAGGGUGCGAGCGUUAUUCGGAAUCACUGGGCGUAAAGGGCGCGUAGGCGGUCUGGUAAGUCAGGGGUGAAAUCCCACGGCCCAACCGUGGAACUGCCGUUGAAACUGCUGGGCUUGGAUCCUGGAGAGGGUGGCGGAAUUCCUGGUGUAGGAGUAAAAUCCGUAGAUAUCAGGAGGAACACCGGUGGCGAAGGCGGCCCCCGGGAAAGGUAUCGACGCUGAGGCGCGAAAGUGGGGGGAGCAAACAGGAUUAGAUCCC